UACGUAGGGGGCAAGCGUUGUCCGGAUUUAUUGGGCGUAAAGCGCUCGCAGGCGGUUCGUUGUGUCGGCGGUGAAAGCCCCGGGCUUAACCUGGGAAUGGCCGUUGAAACUGGCGAACUGGAGUGUGGCAGAGGGGGGUGGAAUUCCGCGUGUAGCAGUGAAAUGCGUAGAGAUGCGGAGGAACACCGAUGGCGAAGGCAGCCCCCUGGGCUAACACUGACGCUCAGGCACGAAAGCGUGGGGAGCAAACAGG
rnacentral:rRNA from 1 species